rnacentral:rRNA from 1 species
GAUGAACGCUGGCGGCGUGCUUAACACAUGCAAGUCGAACGAUGAAGCCCAGCUUGCUGGGUGGUUUAGUGGCGAACGGGUGAGUAACACGUGAGUAACCUGCCCUUAACUCUGGGAUAAGCCUGGUAAACUGGGUCUAAUACCGGACAGGAGCGCCUACCGCAUGGUGGGUGUUGGAGAGAUUUAUCGGUUUUGGAUGGACUCGCGGCCUAUCAGCUUGUUGGUGAGGUAAUGGCUCACCAAGGCGACGACGGGUAGCCGGCCUGAGAGGGUGACCGGCCACACUGGGACUGAGAGACGGCCCAGACUCCUACGGGAGGCAGCAGUGGGGAAUAUUGCACAAUGGGCGAAAGCCUGAUGCAGCGACGCCGCGUGAGGGAUGACGGCCUUCGGGUUGUAAACCUCUUUCAGUAGGGAAGAAGCGAAAGUGACGGUACCUGCAGAAGAAGCACCGGCUAACUACGUG